rnacentral:tRNA from 1 species
CAUCGUGCUGGGGCCGAUGGCCGGCGUGGCUGGCGCGGAACUGGCGAUUGCCGUGGCGCGCGGCGGUGGCCUCGGUUCGCUGCCGUGCGCGAUGC